UACGUAGGGUGCAAGCGUUGUCCGGAAUUAUUGGGCGUAAAGAGCUCGUAGGCGGUUUGUCGCGUCGAAUGUGAAAACCCGGGGCUCAACCCCGGGCCUGCAUUCGAUACGGGCAGACUAGAGUUCGGUAGGGGAGUCUGGAAUUCCUGGUGUAGCGGUGAAAUGCGCAGAUAUCAGGAGGAACACCGGUGGCGAAGGCGGGACUCUGGGCCGAUACUGACGCUGAGGCACGAAAGCGUGGGGAGCAAACAGG
rnacentral:rRNA from 1 species